GACGAACGCUGGCGGCGUGCUUAACACAUGCAAGUCGAACGGUAAGGCCCUUCGGGGUACACGAGUGGCGAACGGGUGAGUAACACGUGGGUGAUCUGCCCUGCACUUCGGGAUAAGCCUGGGAAACUGGGUCUAAUACCGGAUAGGACUCCGGACUGCAUGGUCUGGGGUGGAAAGCUUUUGCGGUGUGGGAUGGGCCCGCGGCCUACCAGCUUGUUGGUGGGGUGAUGGCCUACCACGGCGACGACGGGUAGCCGGCCUGAGAGGGUGACCGGCCACACUGGGACUGAGAUACGGCCCAGACUCCUACGGGAGGCAGCAGUGGGGAAUAUUGCACAAUGGGCGCAAGCCUGAGGCAGCGACGCCGCGUGAGGGAUGACGGCCUUCGGGUUGUAAACCUCUUUCAGCAUCGACGAAGCGAAAGUGACGGUAGGUGCAGAAGAAGGACCGGCCAACUACGUGCCAGCCGCCGCAGUAA
rnacentral:rRNA from 1 species